rnacentral:tRNA from 2 species
GUUAAUGUAGCUUUAAAAUUAAAGCAAGGCACUGAAAAUGCCUAGAUGAGUGCUCCAACUCCAUAAACA